GAGACUCUGUGCGCGUGCAUAUCAAUAAGCGGAGGAAAAGAAACUAACAAGGAUUCCCUUAGUAACGGCGAGUGAAGCGGGAAGAGCUCAAAUUUGAAAUCUUCAAGGUUCUACCUUGACGAAUUGUAGUUUAUAGAAGUGUUUUCUGUUAGUAGAGUGGCAAAAGUUCUUUGGAAUAGGACAUCAUAGAGGGUGAGAAUCCCGUAUUUGGUCAUUCUUUCUAGCUUUGUGAUACACUUUCAACGAGUCGGAUUGUUUGGGAAUGCAGUCCAAAAUGGGUGGUAAAUUUCAUCUAAAGCUAAAUAUUGGCGAGAGACCGAUAGCGAACAAGUACCGUGAGGGAAAGAUGAAAAGAACUUUGAAAAGAGAGUUAAACAGUACGUGAAAUUGUCAAAAGGGAAGCGUUUGACACCAGUGUUGUUUUCUCGAAAAUCAAUUAAAAAUGCAUGGAUUUUGUGUUGUAUUGACUUUAUCAGCUUUCUGCACUCUUUUCUUAUCUUUUUUAAUGCACCUUUUCGUUUAACAAGUCAACAUCAAUUUCUUUUGUUGUAAAAGAGGUCAUUGGGAGGUGGCUUUCUUUUCGGAGAAAGUGUUUAUAGCCUUUGGCCUCUGCAAUCGGAGAGAUUGAGGUCUGCAGCGUAGAUCCUUCGGGGUUAGAUACAUUUGUGCUAAGUUAUAACCUUUCAUAGACAACUUGUUGACUAUGAUCAGUCAUGUAGCUUACUCGCUUAUGCUAUUUUACCUACGCUUAGGAUGUUGAAGUCAUCGUAUCGCGC
rnacentral:rRNA from 1 species